AUUGAACGCUGGCGGCAUGCUUUACACAUGCAAGUCGAACGGUAACAGGGUGGUUGCACCGCUGACGAGUGGCGAACGGGUGAGUAAUGCGUCGGAACGUGCCGAGUAGUGGGGGAUAACGCAGCGAAAGUUGUGCUAAUACCGCAUACGUACUGAGGUAGAAAGUGGGGGACCUUCGGGCCUCACGCUAUUCGAGCGGCCGACGUCUGAUUAGCUAGUAGGUGAGGUAAAGGCUCACCUAGGCGACGAUCAGUAGCGGGUCUGAGAGGAUGAUGCGCCACACUAGAACUGAGACACGGACCAGACUCCUACGGGAGGCAGCAGUGGGGAAUUUUGGACAAUGGGCGAAAGCCUGAUCCGGCCAUGCCGCGUGUCUGAAGAAGGCCUUCGGGUUGUAAAGGACUUUUGUCAGGGAGGAAAUCCCUAGUGCUAAUAACACUGGGGGAUGACAGUACCUGAAGAAUAAGCACCGGCUAACUACGUGCCAGCAGCCGCGGUAA
rnacentral:rRNA from 1 species